rnacentral:rRNA from 12 species
CCACCCUGGCCAACGCCCGAUCUCGUCCGAUCUCGGAAGCUAAGCAGGGUCGG